GUGAGACUUUUGAAAACAAGAUCCUUUUUGUCCCCCCACCCCCAUCAUAACGCAGCUGUGGACUGUAGACGUGCGAGUGCCUUAUGGCGCGCAGGGCGGGGAGGAAGGGGUGCCSCCACAGAAGGCAGGAGUUUCCGCGAACAAUUUGCCGGCGGCCCGCGUCUUCCCGGCUGGGACCCCGGGCCCGAGCUUUUGGGGGCUGGGUGUGGUGAUGGGGGAGGGGGCUCGAGCCGCGGUCUUCCCGCGUACUUUCCGGAAGCCCCCUGUGCGGAGGGGGAAGGGCGCCAAGUAGGGGGCCGGGGUCGUGGCCGGUGGGUGUGGAGGCGCGGUGGCCGGACCAACCCGACCAGCGCUGCUGGCCAACUGGGAGCGACGUCGAAAGCGGGUCGAACCGGCUCUUUAAACUUCCCCGAGUGUGUGCUGGGGGAGGGGAGCGCUCCGCGCCGAACUGGGAGCGAUUUCUCACGCUUCGCCCCCUYGCCUCCGAGUCCCCGGCCCACACGCCUGCCCCCUGCCUCGAGGCGGGGUGGGGCGCGGGUGGCGGGGGAGGGGGCACUUUCUGCACAUUUGGGGGGGAGGGAGAGAAAGCUCGCGAAAGAGGGACAAAAGGGGUGGGGGAGGAGGAACUGUUUUUUAAAAAUAAACGUUUUUAAGACGAAUAGCUCCCGGAGAGCGCCCCCUGCGCCCCUCCCCGCCGCGCUCCCACCCGGGCCCCCACACACCCACCUUUGGCACCUCUCCCAACUCGGAUCCGGGGGCUGGUGGCCACGCCGCGACGCCGAACUAGGACGAGCAGCCAUGUUUCCCGGGUCUCUCGCGGCCGCCCCGCCCCUCCCCCAUGGCGCGGCCGGCGCGCGGCGCGGGGCUCGGAAUGCGGGCUCGGGCUCCGGCUCCAUGCGGCGCGGAGCGGCGGCUGGGCGGUGGGCGCGCGGGCCGGGAGGGUGCGCCGGCGGCCUGCGGCUUCCCGAGCUGGCUCCGAGCUCCAGGUGUUUUAUUUGUGAUUAG
rnacentral:lncRNA from 1 species